UGCCAGCCGCCGCGGUAACACGGGGGGCGCAAGCGUUAUUCGGAAUUAUUGGGCGUAAAGGGCGCGCAGGCGGUCUUGUCCGUCAGGUGUGAAAGCUCGGGGCUUAACCCGGGAACUGCAUCCGAAACUUCUUCACUAGAGUCCCGGAGAGGAAGGCAGAAUUCCCAAUGUGGGGGUGAAAUCCGUAGAUAUUGGGAGGAAUACCAGCGGCGAAGGCGGCCUUCUGGACGGUGACUGACGCUGAGACGCGAAAGCGUGGGGAGCAAACAGGAUUAGUUC
rnacentral:rRNA from 1 species